AGAGUUUGAUCCUGGCUCAGGACGAACGCUGGCGGCGUGCUUAACACAUGCAAGUCGAACGAUGAACCGGUUUCGGCCGGGGAUUAGUGGCGAACGGGUGAGUAACACGUGGGCAAUCUGCCCUGCACUCUGGGAUAAGCCCGGGAAACUGGGUCUAAUACCGGAUACGACACAUGAGCGCAUGCUCGUGUGUGGAAAGUUCCGGCGGUGCAGGAUGAGCCCGCGGCCUAUCAGUUUGUUGGUGGGGUAGUGGCCUACCAAGACGACGACGGGUAGCCGGCCUGAGAGGGUGACCGGCCACACUGGGACUGAGACACGGCCCAGACUCCUACGGGAGGCAGUAGUGGGGAAUAUUGCACAAUGGGCGAAAGCCUGAUGCAGCGACGCCGCGUGAGGGAUGACGGCCUUCGGGUUGUAAACCUCUUUCAGCAGGGGAGAAGCGAAAGUGACGGUACCUGCAGAAGAAGCACCGGCUAACUACGUGCCAGCAGCCGCGGUAAUACGUAGGGUGCAAGCGUUGUCCGGAAUUAUUGGGCGUAAAGAGCUCGUAGGCGGCCUGUCGCGUCGAUUGUGAAAGCCCAGGGCUUAACCCUGGGUCUG
rnacentral:rRNA from 1 species